GACGAACGCUGGCGGCGUGCUUAACACAUGCAAGUCGAACGGAAAGGCCCUGCUUGCAGGGUACUCGAGUGGCGAACGGGUGAGUAACACGUGGGUGAUCUGCCCUGCACUUCGGGAUAAGCCUGGGAAACUGGGUCUAAUACCGGAUAGGAGCCAUUUUUAGUGUGAUGGUUGGAAAGUUUUUUCGGUGUAGGAUGAGCUCGCGGCCUAUCAGCUUGUUGGUGGGGUAAUGGCCUACCAAGGCGGCGACGGGUAGCCGGCCUGAGAGGGUGGACGGCCACAUUGGGACUGAGAUACGGCCCAGACGCCUACGGGAGGCAGCAGGGGGGAAUAUUGCACAAUGGGCGCAAGCCUGAUGCAGCGACGCCGCGGGGGGGAUGACGGCCUUCGGGUUGAAAACUCCUUUCGCUAGGGACGAAGCUUUUUGUGACGGUACCUAGAGAAGAAGCACCGGCUAACUACGUG
rnacentral:rRNA from 1 species